rnacentral:rRNA from 2 species
AAAUUGAAGAGUUUGAUCAUGGCUCAGAUUGAACGCUGGCGGCAGGCCUAACACAUGCAAGUCGAACGGUAACAGGAAGCAGCUUGCUGCUUCGCUGACGAGUGGCGGACGGGUGAGUAAUGUCUGGGAAACUGCCUGAUGGAGGGGGAUAACUACUGGAAACGGUGGCUAAUACCGCAUAACGUCGCAAGACCAAAGAGGGGGACCUUCGGGCCUCUUGCCAUCAGAUGUGCCCAGAUGGGAUUAGCUGGUUGGUGAGGUAACGGCUCACCAAGGCGACGAUCCCUAGCUGGUCUGAGAGGAUGACCAGCCACACUGGAACUGAGACACGGUCCAGACUCCUACGGGAGGCAGCAGUGGGGAAUAUUGCACAAUGGGCGCAAGCCUGAUGCAGCCAUGCCGCGUGUAUGAAGAAGGCCUUCGGGUUGUAAAGUACUUUCAGCGGGGAGGAAGGUGUUGUGGUUAAUAACUGCAGCAAUUGACGUUACCCGCAGAAGAAGCACCGGCUAACU